AGCAGAAAACAUAGAGAUACCUGCAAAUGAAAAAUAGAGCGAGGACUUCUGCAACAGGGAAAUUCUGAAAGAGUCUCUUUGUACAUCAGUAAAUUCCAAUACCUGCACUUAGCCAGGAUAUUUCAGGGGUUGGUGUAUUUCUUCCUCCUAGACCACCACAAUCCCUGGAGGAUAGCUAGCUGCUCUCCUGCCACUCUUGAUGGACAAGCCCUGGUUUUCACCCACUGUGACAUUCUGUGACAAACGCCAUGCACUCCAUUUUUUUCCUUGCUGUUUGUAAAACUUCCCAGCAUAAAAAUGUAGAGAUGGAGUUUGGAUCUCUUUCACUGGCAGUGACACACAGUGGGCAGUGCAUUGCUCAAGAGACUCGGUUGUAUUUCCAGCACUGACAAAGGCAGAAGGUACAUGACCAGGAGAAAUUCAUUUCACCAGCAAGAACCUCAUCUUUCCUGCUGUUAAAUGAGAAAUCUGUCCAGAAGAUUCCCCAUUAAUCAACAGCAACAAGGAAUCUCUCACCUCUGAGGGAAUAUUUAACUUGAACUUGCAUGUGUACACUGAAAUCUGAGUGUAGAUCCCAUCAUGUGGGCACAUCCCAGCACUGACUUGCCUGAGCUCAUUAUCUGCUCUCUCUGGAGCAAUGAAGCACAGCUUUAAAAUUGGUUUCCUGCAGUUUUGCCCCCCCUCUCUCCCCUCACCCCCUCGCCCCCCCUUUUUUUUUCCCAUUUCAGUCUCACCCAAGUGCAUAAUGAAAAAAUGUUGUGGCUUCGCAUGCAAAUAAAAUUUAACAUAACGACUUUCUGAGCUAAUGCUUAGCUCAGGUAAUGCACCAGGGGGCUUUCUGUUGCCAGGCCAUUUCCCCACUCCAUUGUAAAACAUUAAGCUGUUGAAAAGCAAAUCAUGAUUGCUAAGUUGGGUGGCUGAUGGAAGGAACAAAGAGUUUUGGAUACACGUCAAGGAAGGAACAAAGAGUUUUGGAUACAUGUCAAAUGUUCUGGAAGACUGGCUGACCAAAACCACUUCAGGGGUGAUCAUUAUCAGUAUAUCUGAGCAAUUAGUCUCAUUUUCCAGCAGAUAGCAGCUACUAACCACAGCUCAGUGCUCUGCGGAACAUAGCCACUUUUCUAGCUCUUUGAUACAACCUGUCACUGACCUUUCAGGGGUCUGCUCAGGGCUGUUCUGCAGCCCAGGCAAUUGGAUCAGAUCUAACUGCUAUAAACCAAGACCAAGAAAUUCCUCUGUAAAGUGAUACAUUUCUAGUGUGAAUGCCAUAUCUUGUGCUGCUCGUAUCAGCUGCUCCAUGAUAUUGAAUGUACAAACUGUUUAAAAUAGCAAAGUGAACUUCUGAAGUGUUAUUUUGCUGUCACAAAAGCAUUUGCAGGUUGGAUAUUCAGAAAAAUUUAUUCUCUGAAAGAGUAGUCAGGCAUAGAUCAGGCUGCCCAGGGAGGUGGGGAAGUUACCGCCCCUGGAGGUGUUCAAGGAGCAUGAAGAUCACACAAUGACUUGAGUUGGGUUGGGUUGGAAGGGAUCUCAGAGAUAAUCAGAACGUAGAGAAGCUUUUCUCCCCUGACUUGGCCUGGGACCAAUUUCACCAUAAUUCAGCUUUGUGUUGUCAGACACCCCAAGGAGAUGGUUGAUCUCAGUGGUUCGUAGACUGGCAGUUUAUCUCUGCCUCUGCUAGGCCAAGAUGGGUUUUACAUAUGUUCCUGAAGUGCUGAGGAAUUGCAAAGCAUGUAGGAAGUCUCAGAUUCCACGUUGCUUCCAAUAAAAGAUACCUGCAUGCAGAUAUUUAGGAAGAUGAUACUCUUUGUAUGAGUCACCAUGAUCUGUAAGUUUAUUCCAUAAUGAAACAUGGGCUUUUAGGGUCAAAAAGUUAUGUAAUUGCAGAGAUGUGGAUAUUCACAAGUUGAAACAAGAUUAGUAAAUCCAUCUUUUGACUAAUACAUCCAUCUACCCAACAAAUUUCUUACCGGAACACCGUCAGGUUCCAGUCCAUUGACUCUAAGAAUUUGAACUCUAAAAGUUCAAAGUCUUAGAAAAAAAAAAAACUUACUAUUAUAAUGCUAUUACUAUUAUAUUGGCUCGCAGCUUGUUGCAGCUCUGUGUUGCUUAUGUGCCCUUAUUCUUAAAGCCUUCCUAUCUCAAACUAAUUAAUACAUGAUGCUGUUUUAAAGGUACUUUACCUUUGACAAUGACCCUUGUAAGUGGUCCUAUCAUUUGUUUUAACUAUUGUCAGCUUCUCCUUCUUUGUGCUGAGACUGUCAUUAUUUCAUAUCAGGUGGUUUCUUCUGAAAACUGCUCUCAUAUAUACGGGCAUUUAAUAGUUACUGGUUGUACACUGAAGUGCUCUUGUAAGUUCUCUGUUGUUAUCCACUGGACUGUGACAAUCUCCACGCUCCAGCUCAUCAGCCACUGUGAAAUGUCACUAUUUCAUGUUAUGUUAAUUGCCAUAAAAGCAUGAUUUGAUAUGAAAAGCACUCCAAAUUUCAAAGUGCUGGGCUCAAUCUAUCGGAUUAUUACUAAAAGGUAAAGACAGCUUUGCAGUGGAUUAGGCAAAGUGCACUCCUUCGAGAGCAGAGUCGUGAGGGUUAUCUCACAUCUGUUCAGAAGUGGAUGCUCAGAGAAGAAACACCAUUAUCCCAUUGGACAGCACUAAAUAUGCUGCCACAAGAUUCCUAAGAUACUUGAGAUUAUACUCUUAUCUUAUUUUUCCUUGGGAGGACUUCAGAUAUCUCAAACUCAGCAAAUAUGCCAUUUACUUAGCUUAAUUACUCAUUGACAUGACAUCUCUGUUUUCGGUAUCACCAGAGCCAUGUGCUCGUUGUCCUCAUGAAUUAUGAGAAGGACUGCAAUUUCAGACAAGUUGAACACAAUUGAAAAACAUUGCAUGGCUGUGGUUCACCACUACUUUGCAUAAAUAAACUGCUCCAAGUAGACAUUGGGUAACAUUUCAUUCCCUCCCUCCCCAGUAUCCUCGGUUACUCUGUCACCUUUUGUUAAAUGGAUAUAAAUGAUAAACGUUAACAAACUCAUGUGCCAGUCACACGUCAAGAAAAGAAGCAAACAUGAAAUUAACACAAGUUAAUGUCAUGCUGUUUACAGAACAUUUAAAGUCUUGAAAUGUAACUUCUUGUGGUUUAAAGCAAUGACCAUUUGUAAGUCACGUUAUUUUCUGCAUUACGAGUUUCAGCCCUAAUUUUGAUGAGGAGUGCCUUUCUAAUCUAACAGUGUCCUUUGGAUUUAAACUUAGUAGAUUAAUAUGCACACAAAAAAAAAAUAGAUAAAGCACCUCUAAUAUUUUCCUGGUGGUUGGGUUUUACUUUGCAUGACUGACUCAUUAUGUGCAAUUAAUAUUGGCAUGAUUGCAGUUUGGUAAAUUAAACUACAUGCCCACGGAUGAAAAGCAGAGCCACAGAAUAACUUCCUUGCAGGUGAGCCAGCCAUGUAAAGUCACAACAAUUUGCAACAAGCUGCUAAAAAAGAAGGAGCCAAAUAAAUCUAAUGCUUAAUUUGCUGUUGGCUGUGGUAACAAAGUUCACUGGCCGUAAGAAAUUGGCAGAGAUCUGAAUCUGAGCAAGAACCUUUGCAAUAACCUCAGCUUGGACCGUGAUGUUGCUGACCUCAAUUUAUGAACAGAAAGGAAUUAGCAAACAUAAUCUCAUGCAUUGCUCAAAUGAAAUUCUGCUCUGUGCAGCGCUGCAGUUCUGGUGGUCAUGUCCAUCAAACACAGCUCCAGUGCUGCAGACCAGCUACGUGCUGACCAUCACAGACCCCAUUCCAGCAAGGUGUAAGGGAUGAAUCAAAUGAUAUGUUCUCCUCAUCUUCUGUCUAGGCUUUCUAUUUGAUGUCUACAAAAGCAAUGAUUUCAGUUACUAUAGGACCAGCAACAGAAGGCAGAUUAUACUGAAGGAUGAUGCAUACUUUCACUUUUUAUUCUCCAUCCUUUCACUUGAUGUAGAAUAAAAUAUCAUUUUCGAACUUUCCAGACUAUGAACAAUUUGCUAAAGUUCAUCUAGUAAUUUGCUCAUUAAAAAAAAACCACAACACGCUACAACUGUUUUUACAUGUAUGAGGACAUUUUUUUCUCACAGAACACAUUCUAAAUUGUGUAAAUAUGGGAAGUCAUGUACAGGAGAUGACUGCCCUCCCUUUUGCUCCAUGAGCAAAGCAGCUGGCCUCAUCUCCUCCCUCUUCCCAUCUCCUUGGCUAUUGCACUGCAACCACAAAAUUAAGCACUCUUGCUUUUUUAAUUGAAUCCCUAUGCCUUCCCUGCCAUUUUCUACCCAAACUUUGGUUAAGAGGUUCCAUUUUUUGACACUUCCAGGGUGCUUUUUAAAUUCCUCAUACUACCAGCAUAGAAAAUUUUUACUUAUCUUUGGCUGCAGCCUUCCCAUGACCACGCCAUAUUCGGUUUUCAGAAGGCUGCUCAGUUUAUCUACGUUUUCUGCAACCAGCACUAAACAUGGCCAGCUAUGGGGUAAAACAUAAACCUCAAGGGAAGCUGUGCUUCACUUUCUUGUUUGCUCUGGCUUUAAUGUUGCAAAGUGAUUCUGUGUGACCUCUGUCUGGAAGGCAUUUCACCAAAUAGAAGUGUCUUGCUGCAGUAACUCAACUGGUUGUUCCUGGAGCCAUUGGCAGUUCUGUUGUUGUCAGAGCUGCGUGGCUUGCGAUGGGUGAUCAUGCAAAUAAAAUCCAGCAUUACAAACCUGCAGUCACAGUGUGAACAGUAUUAGCAGCUGAUUCAUUGAUCACUGCCUUAUUAUCACCUGUCAUUAGUAUGAGCUGUGAGGAAUAACUUGAUAUCAAUAUCAAUUGAUAACAAUCUACAUGUGAAUGGUCAUUAUUUUUGGCAAUGCAAUUUGAAACUACCCAGUUCAAACAAUUGCUUCAUUAAUAAAUGCUGACAGCAGGAUGUCACCUGUAGCAUUAUCCACGUUAGAGAUAGAGUGCAUAACAAAUGGCCUGAGAUAUCUGAUUUUAUCACUGUAAUUGGUAGUUUUUCUAUGUUUUUCUAGACAUAUCUCCUGCAACUUUCCCUCCACAUACCCCAGAAAUGAGCUGCUUUGGGAAUCUUCAGUGUUUCCAAAAAGCCAUAUGGAUGCCAGUGCUCUUGACCUCAAUGAGCUUCAGUUGCUCUUCUGGCCACUUUUUCCCCAGUUUUCACAAGAAAUUUGAAAUCAUUUUACUGUGGAAAGGCAUUUCACCAAGCAGAAUUGUUUUCCUGAAGUAACUGAAUCUGAUGGAUAUUAGUCUAGGUACACACAUAAAUCUUCCAUAUAUGUUUUCCUGAGAUUUUGAAGGUACUUUUGGGGAGAUAGAAUGGUUCUUAAUGAAUUCAGGCUCUACCAUGUUACUGUGGUAUUGUCUGGACUCCUGGAUUAGAAGUGGGUGUAUGGACACCAUUCUUGACAGUCUCACCCUGGACAGCUCUCAUACAGUCCAGACACAAAGUCUUAGAUAACUAUGGAAAAACACGCACAAAAACAAGGACAAAAAAUGCAGCUCAAGCAUUUUUAGAUUGUUUGUGGGUCAAAUAAUUCCAGGCAACUCAGGAUAUUAACUUUGAAAUUAUGACUUUUCACUCAUUUACACUUAAAAUUCCAUUUUUUUUCCUUCUAGAUAGCUGAUGUAUGUAAUUUGUGUAUCUGGGGUAGGUUGGAUUAUCUGAGAAUGUCAAAGGGAAUCAAAGGGGAAAAUGUAUUCUGACGCCUAAUUUUACAAGUACAUUUGUUCUGCCAAAUAAUUAAUUCUUUACAUUCUUCCAAAUGGGAAAUUAUGCCUUCUGGCAUGUAGGAAGACUUGUUAUUCCUAACUGUCUGAAAAAUAACAACCUUUUUUGCAGAUAUCAGUCCAUGUGGCACUUAUAAUUUAUGGUAUUUGUAAAUACAAAUGAAGUUAAUGCCAGGUAAGGUUUCCAAAGGGCCUCAGAAUCGAAUGUGCUUUCAAAAGACUGUUGACCGAAGACUUCAGACCAGUCUGUUUAAGGGACAUGACUGGCACACGGUCUUGAAAAUGUUUCCCCACUGAAGUAGCGGUGUUGAACUCAGCGGUUUAACAUGUCUGAGAAAGUGCUGGCAGGAUUCACCACUCCUUAAAUUUCUAGAUUUUUACAGCGCUGUCUGGACGUGUAGGAACAAGCUCUAACUAUAUCUGACUUAUUUAUGUUGUUUGUGCCAAUCAAAAUAGUAAAGAACUUGGGACUUUAGCACCCUGUUAUCUGUUUGUCUGUACAUAUUGCAACCCAUAGAAAAAAAAAAUGAAUUAACUCUUUCUCCCUUGCAUCCAACCUUUUUCACUCGUUACUUAAAUUUCCUCACAUUUGUAGUUCAUUCUUUCCACGCCAUCUUCUAACAUCUGAUUUUUGGCAUUCAGGGUGAUUAUAGAAUUGAAACUACUUUCAGUUUUACCCCUUCUGUCCCUCUAAGAAACAAACUUACACUCUGAAAAAAAAAAAAAAAGUGAUACUCUGCACUUGGAGGUGUUCAAGGGUCAACUGAGCAUGGCCUGAGCAACCUGAUCUAGUGAAACUUGUUUUGAGCAUGGUGUUAUAGACUUCCAGAUGAAUAAAUGAUGUUACAGUUCUAUGAAAUUUCAACAGAACUCUAUUUCCUAUAAUGGGUGAUAUCAGUAAACUAGACAGCUAUCUUCAUUCCAAGUAAACGGAUGGAGGUCUAAGGAACAUAGUCAUAUGAGUGUGGCAUGGUGCCUAACUUUUUAAUUCUUUGCUCUUUGCCUUGACCAGAAGGUAUUAAACACACUAUUUUCCUCUUCUUCCUUUUUACAUGUUGGAAGACAGCAGCAUCUUCACCAGUAUGAACAACAGUUUCAUUCUACUUUCCUUAUGUGUCACGUUUCCUUCAAUAUUUUGCACGGUUCUCCAUGCUCUCCAACAAACUCCUUCAUCCUUCACCUCUUUCAAACUGUGGUACCAAAAAUUGUACCCACCACUUACACUGAGUUAUCAUCCUGAAGCAGUGUGUGAUAAGAACUACUUUAAUGGCUUACAGAUGAUGCCCUGCUGCAUUCCCAUCUCUAUAGGCCAGUUUCUUUAUUCACAACAAUAUGAACUCUUGACAUUGUGUAUCUGCUAUUGCCCCAGUUCUCCUCUGCUAAUUGCUGCCGCUCAUCUGCUCUUGCUUGUUGCAGAGAUGAUUGUUCCUACCUAGAGAUAGAAUUCUACAUUUAGCACUAUUGAAUUGGACUUUGUUUCUCCAGACAAUUUUUUCAAUUUUUCAGGACAAUUUUAGAUUCCAAUAUUUUUCUCUCAUAUGUUGGCAGCUUCCU